UUAGAAGCAAAUUGCAAAGAAGCGAAUUGCAAUGAAGGUGAUUGGAAUUGUUCUUGUCCUGUGCUUGGCAGGUGCUAUGGGUCAGACUACUGAGGCUCCAUCCCAGUUCAAUUGUUACUUGGACAGUAUAUUCGAUCCUGACUUUCCAGCGGCCUGUGCACAGGAAUUCAGUAAUUCCCUCCCAAGCAAUGGUGAUUCAGUCAAUGUUGAAGCCCUUCAAAGGUUUUGCUCAGACGGUUGUGGUGCUCAAUUUAACACUUUUCUGAUGGAUAAAAUGCCAGUCACCAGUAAUUCUGGGAAUAUGCUCUAUGGAUGAUGAUGGAUUCUGCGUUGGUCGAAACCAAACUGUGUUGUACCAAAAUAUUGCCACAGCCAUUGCAGAGCCGUGCCUGAAUACCAAUUGUUCUGAUGCUACAUGCAACUCAGCUGUGCAAGAUAUAUCGUGCUGUCUCGAUGGGCUGGCAAUAGUCACUGAGUUUAUUGGUUUCAACUUGAACACUAUAGUGUUGCCCUCAGGAUGCAUGGCUCCAGCGUGUGAUACUACAGUGGGAGGAGCUGCCCUGAUCAUUGCCAUGCCUCUGGCCAUUGUGAUGUCACUGUUGCUAGCACUGGUUGCUGUCCUGUAGAACUGUAUAGUUGUAGCAUGGAAAACUAUGAAGAACAAUAGCUAUAGAACCGGUGAACGUUUAACGGUUAGGUAGACUAUUGGAAGUGUAGUUGUUCUUUUGUGACGUUGAAUUUCUCUAGCUCUGUAAACAUAUAAUUAUACUAUAACACAUAUAA